rnacentral:rRNA from 1 species
GAUGAACGCUGGCGGCGUGCCUAAUACAUGCAAGUCGAGCGAACGGACGAGAAGCUUGCUCCUCUGAUGUUAGCGGCGGACGGGUGAGUAACACGUGGAUAACCUACCUAUAAGACUGGGAUAACUUCGGGAAACCGGAGCUAAUACCGGAUAAUAUAUUGAACCGCAUGGUUCAAAAGUGAAAGACGGUCUUGCUGUCACUUAUAGAUGGAUCCGCGCCGCAUUAGCUAGUUGGUAAGGUAACGGCUUACCAAGGCAACGAUGCAUAGCCGACCUGAGAGGGUGAUCGGCCACACUGGAGCUGAGACACGGUCCAGACUCCUACGGGAGGCAGCAGUAGGGAAUCUUCCGCAAUGGGCGAAAGCCUGACGGAGCAACGCCGCGUGAGUGAUGAAGGUCUUCGGAUCGUAAAACUCUGUUAUUAGGGAAGAACAAAUGUGUAAGUAACUGUGCACAUCUUGACGGUACCUAAUCAGAAAGCCACGGCUAACUACGUG